GUGAGUCAUCGAAUCUUUGAACGCAUCUUGCGCUCCUUGGCAUUCCGAGGAGCACGCCUGUUUGAGUGUCAUUAAAUUCCUCAAAUCCUCCAAUCUUGCCCACCAAGGGCUGGAGUGGUUGGUUUGGAUCGUUGGAGGCUUCUGAAUGCAGGCUCGCUUCGAAGGGCCUGCUCCUCUGAAAUGCAUUAGCAAUGGCCGUGGCGUCGUCGUUGGCAUGGUAAAAAUACUUGUUAUUUUCUGCCACUUGACACAGACAACCACCUCCCAUGCUUCUAAUCUGGCCACCUGUUUUCUCGGUGC
rnacentral:misc_RNA from 1 species